GCACUGCUGAGGAGUCCCACAAUAGGACGAAACGGUUGUCCGAUGC
rnacentral:hammerhead_ribozyme from 1 species